rnacentral:rRNA from 1 species
AACGUAGGACGCGAGCGUUAUCCGGAGUUACUGGGCGUAAAGGGUGGGCAGGCGGCCGUGUCAGAUGGGUGUGAAGUCUCCCGGCUCAACCGGGAGGGGCCACUCGUGACUGCACGGCUGGAGGGCAGCAGAGGCGCGUGGAAUUCCGGGUGGAGUGGUGAAAUGCGUAGAGAUCCGGAGGAACACCAGAGGCGAAGGCGGCGCGCUGGGCUGCACCUGACGCUGAACCACGAAAGCCAGGGUAGCGAACGGG